GAUCCUGGCUCAGGAUGAACGCUGGCGGCGCGCCUAACACAUGCAAGUCGAACGGACGAUGAAAAGCUUGCUUUUCAAAGUUAGUGGCGGACGGGUGAGUAACGCGUGGAUAACCUGCCUCACACAGGGGGAUAACAGUUAGAAAUGACUGCUAAUACCGCAUAAGCGCACGGUACCGCAUGGUACAGUGUGAAAAACUCCGGUGGUGUGAGAUGGAUCCGCGUCUGAUUAGGUAGUUGGCG
rnacentral:rRNA from 1 species